rnacentral:rRNA from 1 species
AUGAACGCUUGCGGCGUGCCUAAUACAUGCAAGUCGCGCGAACAGACGAGGAGCUUGCUCCUCUGACGUUAGCGGCGGACGGGUGAGUAACACGUGGAUAACCUACCUAUAAGACUGGGAUAACUUCGGGAAACCGGAGCUAAUACCGGAUAAUAUAUUGAACCGCAUGGUUCAAUAGUGAAAGACGGUUUUGCUGUCACUUAUAGAUGGAUCCGCGCCGCAUUAGCUAGUUGGUAAGGUAACGGCUUACCAAGGCAACGAUGCGUAGCCGACCUGAGAGGGUGAUCGGCCACACUGGAACUGAGACACGGUCCAGACUCCUACGGGAGGCAGCAGUAGGGAAUCUUCCGCAAUGGGCGAAAGCUUGACGGAGCAACGCCGCGUGAGUGAUGAAGGUCUUCGGAUCGUAAAACUCUGUUAUUAGGGAAGAACAAAUGUGUAAGUAACUAUGCACGUCUUGACGGUACCUAAUCAGAAAGCCACGGCUAACUACGUG